CUACGGGCCGCUCCAGGCGCGAAACCUUUACAAUGCACGAAAGUGUGAUAAGGGAACCCCAAGUGCUCAUGCAUUGCAUGGGCUUUUGCCAAGUGUAAAUAGCUUGGAGAAUAAGUGGUGGGUAAGACUGGUGCCAGCAGCCGCGGUAACACCAGCGCCACGAGUGGGAAUCAGCUUUAUUUGGCCUAAAGCGUCCGUAGCUGGUCGUGUAAAUCCUUUGUGAAAUCAUCAGGCUUAACCUGAUGGCAUGCAGGGGACACUGCACGACUCGAGACCGGGAGGAGUCUGGGGUAUUCUGUGGGGAGCGGUAAAAUGAUAUAAUCCUCAGAGGACCACCUGUGGCGAAGGCGCCAGACUAGAACGGAUCUGACAGUGAGGGACGAAAGCUAGGGGAGCGAUCCGGAUUAGAUACCCGAGUAGUC
rnacentral:rRNA from 1 species